GGAGGGUAGCUCAGUGGUAAAGUAUGUGCCUAGCAUGUGCAAGGUCUUGGGUUCAAUCCCCAGUACCUCUA
rnacentral:tRNA from 1 species